CCAGUAACUUACUACGUGCACACACACUAAUUGACACCACCUACCAGCACCUAUGCAAGCAGGCACCCACAAAUCCACAAUCACAAGUGCACGUCCUACCACGCACAGGGCCUAUACUAGAGUAAAUCAAUCGCUGAAUCAUUUAAAGUUGUACUGUAAAUCAGAGCACAAGAUUCGGGUGUCAUAUCCCGUGUACCUUUAGUUUUUGCCGAGAGCAAAAAAAAAAAAUUGCUGGACUAAAAAGAAUUUGCC
rnacentral:lncRNA from 1 species